rnacentral:rRNA from 1 species
UAGGGAAUCUUCCACAAUGGGCGAAAGCCUGAUGGAGCAACGCCGCGUGAGUGAGGAAGGCUUUCGGGUCGUAAAGCUCUGUUGCCAGGGAAGAAUAAGGGCUAGUUAACUGCUAGUCCGAUGACGGUACCUGAGAAGAAAGCCCCGGCUAACUACGUGCCAGCAGCCGCGGUAAUACGUAGGGGGCAAGCGUUGUCCGGAAUUAUUGGGCGUAAAGCGCGCGCAGGCGGUCUUUUAAGUCUGGUGUAUAAGUGCGGGGCUCAACCCCGUGAGGCACUGGAAACUGGGAGACUUGAGUGCAGAAGAGGAGAGCGGAAUUCCACGUGUAGCGGUGAAAUGCGUAGAGAUGUGGAGGAACACCAGUGGCGAAGGCGGCUCUCUGGACUGUAACUGACGCUGAGGCGCGAAAGCGUGGGGAGCAAACA